AGCGAACGCUAGCGACGGGCCUAACACAUGCAAGUCGAGCGGGGAGCAAUCCCAGCGGCGAACGGGUGAGUAACACGUGGGUAAUGUGCCUUCUGGUGGGGAAUAACCUUGGGAAACCAGGGCUAAUACCGCAUAUCGUGCUUCGGCAUGAAAGCCUUCGGGCGCCAGUAGAGCAGCCUGCGUCCCAUUAUUUAGUCCUAGUUGGUAGGGUAAUGGCCUACCAAGGGUACGAUGGGUAGCUGGUCUGAGAGGAUGAUCAGCCACACUGGAACUGAGACACGGUCCAGACUCCUACGGGAGGCAGCAGUGGGGAAUAUUGCGCAAUGGGGGAAACCCUGACGCAGCCACGCCGCGUGAGUGAUGAAGGCCUUCGGGUUGUAAGCUCUGUCGGGAGGGACGGAAGGGAGGCAAGUCUCUGACGGUACCUCGCAAG
rnacentral:rRNA from 1 species